UUCCGCAGUUCAUUCAUGCAGCCAGGGAGUGACUGAUAGUCCUGAAGUUUGCAUGAAGAAUUCCAGAAAUCCCUGCAGUAGUUCUAAAACAAUACAACAUUGGCUCGAAGUUGGCUGCUGACAUAUAGAAGGAGGUGGAGAUGCCACUCCAGAGUUGGAUGGCAUCCGCUCCUCGUUGGACUAAGCAUGAAUUUGGAAGACCUCAAGAGGCUCUGCUGCAGGAGAAAGGAUCACAGUCACCUUUCCUAGAGAAAGAACACCAGUGAUGUCCCCAGCCAGCCUCCGCUCCAGGAGGACCUGCAGGAUCUUCAGGGAACACAGCACUUGUUAUUUACAAGAUGCUCCAGGACACAGCAGGAAGGUGUCAUCUGUGAGUCAGAAAAUGGGCCCUGACCAGACAUUGAAUCUGCCCUGAUCUUGGCCUUCCCAGCCUCCGGAACUGUGAGAAAUAAAUUUCUAUUGUUUCCAAGCUACCUAGCUUAUGGUAUUUUGUUACAGCAGCCUGAAGGGACUAAGACAACCCCCUUGGACAGCUGGUACAAAAACUGAGAAUAUUUAGUCUCUCUAGCUUCAGUUUCCUUAUCUAUAAAAUGGGGAUAGACUUGUAAGUAUUAAAUGAAAUACUAUGUACUUAGCUUGGGACCUGACUCUAGUACACGUUCAAUAAAACUUUUAGAAACUAUCAUUAUUUAUUUACCAUACAUUUGGGUAAAACAGGUGUUAAUAAUUUGGCCAUUUGAUACAUCCUUGAUUGUUUUACUAAUAAUGGUUUUGGAUAACAUUUCUGGAUGGUAAAAUAAUGUUGAAGAAUAUUUAACAUUACCUGACAUUAUUUUUUAAUCAAGUACAGUGUCAACUUGAAAAAAUUAUAGUAUAUUUGUGAAAAUGGGUUCAAUUCUACAGUCAUUGAAGCUUAAGUGAGAGAGCUCUUAUCAAAGCCCCUGCAAAAUAUGAGGCCUUCAUUAGUUAUCACAUCAUUCACUAAUGAUAUUUGCCUGGAAGUGCUUUUUACUCAAUUUUUUUCAGUGUGUUGGGGAGGCCAAAAGAAAAAAAAAAGACAACUUUUGCUAAAAAUAGCAUAGCUUGAUUCAUCAUCAUUUUAGACAAAUAUGUAAUGAAACAGGAAGUAACUUUGAAAGCCCUCUUAACUACACUGAUAUACAUGUGUUUUAACUAUGGUGGGGGAGGAUGCUAGAUCUGAGAAGAGAAACAUCAGGGAUAUUAGGUCCAAAAAGGAGAGUAGAAAGAGGCAUCCCAGAAGCAGACUUUGGCUCUCUUCUCCCAAGCUCUGAUGCUUGAGCAAGGGGGAGAGAGAAGAGAGAAUCACAUCUGCCCACUGCAGUCCCACCAACCACAGGUCUGGCCUGCUGUGAGAGGGGAAAAGCGCUGACUCAAGUGGGCUUGGACCAGGACUGGACUUCCAACACCCACAAGGGGGACUUUCUGAGAUGUCAGUAAGACACCUGCUACUGGGGGUCAUCAUAAGGGAGAAAAGAAAGUCCUUCGCAUCUGUAGCCCCACAGAACCACACUGCUCCAUGAACCAGUUAUACAGCGGAAGGGCAGGAUGCUGGACAGCAAAAAUGAAUGAAAACUGAGAAAUGUGGUUCACAGAUACUUAACAUCUAAAAGUAUUUAGCAGUUUUCAAGGCUGGCCACUCUUGGACAACCACUGCAAGGCAAACCGAAUUAUCCACUGCCCAAGGCAAGUCUGAGGAUGUGGUGAAAGUUGAAGGUGGGAAGGGAGAUGGUGCAAUGAAAAUGAUAGCAUUCAUGGGGAAAAUCGAGGCUCUUAGCAGCAGUCAGCUCUCUUCACUGAAGUCACUGAAGCUGAGAAUUUCCCUGAGACAGAAAAGAAGGACCAGAGCUCAAUGAGGGAGUAACUGACCUCCCAGCAGGAUGGGGCCCUCAUGGAAAUUUUUUUCCAAGAUCAUCCUGAGAAUGCUACAGCACGGCACCUCUUUAGUGACUUUCUGAGCCUCUCCUCUUACAAAUCAUGAAUGAGGCUCAUAAAACAAUAACUUGGAAAAUAAAUCCUGAAUGCACAUAUUCAAGUAAGUCUGAAUUCUUAAUAUAUAUGUGUGUGUGUGUGUGUGUGUGUGUGUGUAUAUAUAUAUAUAUAUAUUUUUUUUUUUUUUUGAGAUAAGAUCUCUGUCAGCCAGGCUGGAGUGCAGUGGUGCUCACUGCAGCCUUGAACUGUUGGACUCCUGUGAUCCUCCCUCCUCAGCCUCCCAAGCAGCAUGUGACUGCAGGCACCCACCAGCACACCUGGCUAAAGGAUUUUUAAAAUAUUAUGACUCUAAGACAGAGAAGGAAAAUGGCCUGGCUGCCAACCUGAUGGGAUGUCAUUGCUCUUCACUUUUACCUCCUUCCCUGUCACUGGUAAACUCAGUGCUAUAAAGUGGGCAGUUUACAUGCCUGGGCUGCGGAGUCACACAAGCUUGAUUUUGAGUCCUAUUUGCAACUUUCUAGCCACGUGACCUUGGGCAAUUUAUUUAAUCUGACUAAAUAAAUCCUUGGCAAACUCUUGGCAUGAUACCUGUUAUAAAGGAAGUGUUCAGUGUCGGCUAUUGUUUUUAUCAAGAGCAGCUCCCCGUGAUCUCAGUAGCCAGAUAGGAAAUCUUCUGUUCAUUUUUGUUUUUCCCCAGUUGGGAAUCAUUUCAAGCUGUUUUACCCUAAUGACAGAGUAUUAUGGAGUAGGAUACAGAUCACAUUAAUUUUUAGCCUCAAGUGCAAGACUUCAAAGACAUUUUCUGCUUUGGAAUAAGCAUUCUGGGCAUUACUUCCCACUUCCAGGUGAAGGGUGGGGAGUGCAUCCGUGUAGGUCAAGUUCUUGCCCACUUUCCUCUACCAUUAGGGAGAAUUGGAAAGGCAAGUUUGCGGAGCACAGAUAGAAUCCUUAUCAUGCUCCAUUUUUAACAAUCUGGAAGAAGAGGCACAGAAAGGUUAAGAUCAUCCAGCAAGCAGUCAAGCCAGGAUUGUGUGUCCUACUUUGCAAUUUUCUAGCCAUGUGACCUUGGGCAAUUUACUUUAUCUUACUAAAUAAAAAAUAUAUAUUUGGCAAAUUCUUGGCAUGAUACCUGUUAUAAAGAAGGGUUCAGUGUCAGCUAUUGUUCCCAAACAAUAGGAUUGCAAAUCCUUUCAGUCUGUCCCCAAACACAGUGCCUUCCCCUCCAUACUGUGUGUGGAUCCUCUGCCUGCCCCGACAGGACCAGCUCCAAAAUCUGCAGGGUCAAAGAUGAUUCUUUGGUUGACAUAUGCUUUCCUUUGCAAGUUGG
rnacentral:lncRNA from 10 species